CAAGACCCUCAGAACCUGGUUGAACAUGAAAAAUAUUGCACUGCUCCACUUCUCUCGCCACUCGAUUGGUUUAUUGCAAGACAAUCCGAAGGAAUCAUCAGUUACCGGUUCCGAGUCAGGGCCACAGUUCCGGAGUCAUUUGCACAUCCUUGCUGCACAUGGGUGAAGGCGGUUCAUCGAAUGGGAGUUUUCAAUGCCAGUCGCAAGGGUGAUUGUGCUCCUGCUAAUAAAAAAAACGCUGGUGAUUGGCAACAACCCGCUUUGCGUCCAAGGAGUUGGAACGGUUCAAGCAACCACAUUGUCUCCAGUCAAAACCACU
rnacentral:sRNA from 2 species